UACAGUAGAAAAUUGACAGAACACUGUAGAUCAGCUAUAAUAAAAAAACAAAAAUAAUUCUAUAAAAAAGAAAUAUGGGAUUAACAGAUACACACUGCUAUGUAUAAAACACAUAAGCAAUAAGGAUUUCCUGUGUAACACCGGGAAAUAUAUUCAAUGUCUUGAAACAACCUAUAAUGGAAAGUAAUCUGAAAAAAGAUAUUACACAUGUAUAUCUGAAUCACUUUGCUCUACAUUUGAAUGUAACAUCAUAUUGUACAUUUACAAUAGUUCAAUAAACAAAAAGUUUAUUGCUGUAGUGUGAAAGAUAUUUGAUAUCGUAAUAGGUAAUUGCAUGUCAUGAAAUUUUAAUGAAAAGUGGUAUUUUAGAGGUAAGUUAUAAUGGACCAAUUCCUGAAGUAUAAGUCCUAUAAUUAUUUAUCAAGAUUUUCAAUAUGGCAAAACUAAUAUUGUGUUACUGAUAGAGCAACAAAAUAGAAUAAUAUGGUAUUUUUCAUUAAAAUUUUUCCAAGAGAAUCAAAACUUUUUGCUUACCUGGAAAUGCUUGGAUAACAUGUUAAAGAGCAGUGGAAAAAUGAGCCUCAAGUUCCCAUUAACUAAUGAUUGAUAUUUAUAAAGGAGAGGACAGUGGAUGGACAAAUGUCACUCACAUGAUAGACAUCUUCUCUCAUCUCUACAUGUUUGAGGCAGUGUCAUUGGCAGGGAAAUGUUCUCUUGAACUUGGCAUAGGUGACAGGGUUCCUAUCUUUGGAUUGUGUUUCAGGAAGACAAACAAUGUGCCUGUCAACUUAAUGCCCUUCAUCCCAGCAACUUCUCAGGGAAACAACUGCAUGGCUCUAGAAAACAGAAAAAGCCAGUGUCCAUCGAGAAAGAAAGGCAAGGAAUGAAAAGAGGAGGAAUGGGAAAUUAUGGAUGGUUGGGAGAUGACGUUACAUUGAGGUAAUUAAGAAUGAAAUGCAUACACGUAUAAUUGGGGAGGGAAGGGCCGACAUCCAGGAGAAGAGCAAGGCAGAGGACGGAUGUAGAUUCAAAGGCAGGAAAUGAUAAUGCCAGGAGAAAACUGUCAUUUUAAUGGGUUUGGAAGCAAUGGGAUUUUUGAAAACUUACCUAGACUUUUCUCAGGUCCCUCUGAAAAGGAAAAUGGAGAUAUCAAUGUAAAUAUAAUGUAGAAAAGGGAAGGUAAUACAAAUUUAAGGCACUAUUCAUAUUUCAUAUUAAACCCACGUGGAUGCACCCACAAAUAAACACAUGUACAUGAAAGCACUUUCACACUCAUACACAUAUACGCAUAUCCAGUGGCUGAGGACUCAGUGUUAUCUGAAGAGCGUUCUUCAUAAAUGAAAAUGGGCAUAAAAUGAGUGAGUAUUCUGAUUUGAGUGAACGUUUUAGAACUGGAACUUCUCAUGCUAACCUUUAAAAUGUUCCUCAUCCCUUUGGAUACAGUUAGGCUUUUAUCAUUCAGUUCAUAGGAUGUCAUAAGUACUUGGCCCUUUAAUUAAAGUGUGUAUUCAAUCCGUUUAUUAUGCUAUCUACAUGACACAUACAGCCACAUAUGCUGAAUUGGAGGAUCUUACAUCAUUGCUUCUAGAAGUACUAUAGGGUAUAUCACCUGGGCUCCAUUACUAAGAAUACCUUCAUUAUCCAAUGAAUAUAUAAUAUUGUGUAUGUUUCUCUUUUAACUAUACUUAAAUACAAUUUUAUUAUGUUCAGCAAAAAGACGUGUUAAUGGAUGUGAAGUAGGUCUAAAUCAUGUGACUUGAGCAUGUCUUGGACAAAAUUUUCACUUUGGCCACUUUGACAAACCAUUACUUCAGAGGCAUACGAUUAGUAAAAAAUGCUUGACUUAAAAGGAAUGUCUGUGAAUACACUGCAAUAACAGGACAAAUCAGAUAGUAGUGUUGAGGGGUGAUUGAGUAGCAAAUAUAUGGGGAAAGCUUCAGGUACAAAGGUAAGAUCCCAGGAAAAAUCAUGUAAAAUAUGCACGUGUUGGAUUUGAGAAAGAUGAUCUUUGGAAGUUGAAGGGAAAGGCACAGUUAACCGAUAAAGUCAUGCUUAAGCACACAGGGAAAUGCAUUCAUGGGACUUACCAGUUUCCUCUUCAUAUUGGUCAAUAAAUGAAAAAAAGAAAGAAAGAAUUCAUUCAAGAUGAGGGCACAAUACCAGGAAGUAGGAAAACAAAACUUUGAAACACCUCCAAAGUUAUUUCUGAUCGUUGUCUUCUGAGAAUUGGAACUGCAAAAUUCAAAGACUAUCUCAGCAAUCAAAGGAAGCAUCAUUUCAUUUCCAUGCACCUUCUGAUGACAAAGGGACUGAGCUGGAAAUCACAGAAUGGAAGGCAGUAAAUAGCCCUCCCUCUGGUUUAAAAGAUAUAGAAUUAUUUCAAUCGUUGGUUUGUACUCGGCCUUGUAUCUUUUUCAGAGUAAAAGGAAAACACGCACUCAUAACACAAAACAGGUGCUUGUAAAGAGAGAGGAAACAUAGACCCAAGUCACCAUUGCACAAUACUUUGUGUGUAGACGUUCCUAUAUACGGCUUCAUACAAACAUUACGUCUUUAUGUACUUGAAUUGGUUUCCCUUUGAAACAGAAAUUAUCAUCAAAAAUAUCAUUCCAUGGAGCAUGUUAAAUUUCUAAUUGCAUUUGUAUUGUAAGAUACCAUCUUGGGCAAAAUUCCAAAGUAAGAGUUUCCACAUCAAUCACAUGAAAAAUUGAAAAUUGAGAGGUACGUAGCAAUUGAAAAUUUCCUGUGAGGAGUUCCCAUUGUGGCUCCGAGGGUUAAGGACCGACAUAGUCUCUUGAGGGUCCAGGUUCGAUCCCUGGCCUCAAUGAGUGGGUUAAAGAUCCAGUUUUGCCAUGGCUCUGGCAUAGGCUGGCAGCUAUAGCUCUGAGUCAACCCCCAACCCAGGAAUUUCCAUGUGUCACAGGUGCAGCUCUGGAAAAAAAAAUGGUAAAGAUAAGAAAAAAAAGAAAAAUUCCCUGUGGACUAAAUUCCUUCUGCAAAUAUAUAACAGGAAUUGAAGUUUAAUAAAAUUAAAUAGUUUCACUGAAAAAGUUAAAGAGAAAGAAAUGUUCGUAUGGUUGUCUGUAUUAAAAUUUCAAUGAGAAUCAUAAAAAAAUUUUUUGUGUACUUUGGAAUGCUUGGGUAAUAUGUUCCAACGCAGUGGAAAAAUGAGCCUCAAACUCAUACUUGACCAAUGGCCAAUAUCAGAACUUGCACAUGCCUUGAAAGGACAAUGGAUGGACAAACUGAACUCAGCAAGUGAGAGUCCUCUCUCAUCUCUUAGAUCAUGAAAAUAUCACUGGUAUCAAAAUUGGCCAAUGAAUAUGAAAUGUGUCCAGGCGUCCUAACACUGGAUAUGGUCCAGGAAAAUAUACAAAAUGGAAAGGGUGUUCCUAUCAACCUAGUGC
rnacentral:lncRNA from 1 species